GAUGAACGCUGGCGGCGUGCCUAAUACAUGCAAGUCGAGCGAACAGACGAGGAGCUUGCUCCUCUGACGUUAGCGGCGGACGGGUGAGUAACACGUGGAUAACCUACCUAUAAGACUGGGAUAACUUCGGGAAACCGGUGCUAAUACCGGAUAAUAUCUUGAACCGCAUGGUUCAAUAGUGAAAGACGGUUUUGCUGUCCCUUAUAGAUGGAUCCGCGCCGCAUUAGCUAGUUGGUAGGGUAACGGCUUACCAAGGCCACGAUGCGUAGCCGACCUGAGAGGGUGAACGGCCACACUGGGACUGAGACGCGGUACAGACUCCGACGGGAGGCAGCAGUAGGGAAUCUUCCGAAAUGGGCGGAAGCCUGACGGAGCAACGCCGCGUGGGUGAUGAAGGUCUUCGGAUCGUAAAACUCUGUUAUUAGGGAAGAACAAAUGUGUAAGUAACUAUGCACGUCUUGACGGUACCUAAUCAGAAAGCAACGGCUAACUACGUG
rnacentral:rRNA from 1 species